rnacentral:rRNA from 1 species
UUUUUGAAUUGAUAAUAUAAAGUCUAAUCUGCCCACUGAUAAUAAAUUAAAGGGCUGCAGUAUUUUGACUGUACAAAGGUAGCAUAAUCAUUAGUCUCUUAAUUGGUGACUUGUAUGAAAGAUUUGAUGAGAUAUAAACUGUCUCUUUUUAAUUUUUAAAAUUUAAUUUUUUAGUUAAAAAGCUAAAAUAUAUUUAAAAGACGAGAAGACCCUAUAGAGUUUAAUAUUUAAUAUAUAUAUAUUAAAUAUUUUUUGUAAAAUUUAUAAUUUUAAUAUAAAUAAAUAUUUUAUUGGGGUGAUAGAAAAAUUAAAAUAACUUUUUUUGUAAUUUUACAUUGAUAAAUGAUUAAGUGAUCCGUAAUUUACGAUUAUAAGAAAAAAUUACCUUAGGGAUAACAGCGUAAUUUUUUUUUUUAGUUCAAAUAAGAAAAAAAGUUUGCGACCUCGAUGUUGGAUUAAGAUAAAAUUUAAAUGCAAAAGUUUAAAAUUUUUGAUCUGUUCGAUCAUUAAAAUCUUACA